rnacentral:rRNA from 1 species
UGUGAAAGCUAACCCACCCUGAAUGCCCCUGAUUUCAUCUAGUCUUAGAAGCUAAGCAGGCUUGGGUCUGGUUAGUACUUGGGAUGGGGGACACAUGUUUCUGAAUAUACAGACCAUUUCUGUAG